UGGGAUGUAGUUCAAUUGGUAGAAUGCCCGGCUGUUAACCGGAAAGUUGAAGGUUCGAGUCCUUCCGUCCCAG
rnacentral:tRNA from 1 species